rnacentral:tRNA from 1 species
GCAGCAUUAAGACAGAGGCUAGUCUACCUGCUUGCCAUGCAGGAAACAGGGGUUCGAGUCCCCUAUGCUGCA